AUUGAACGCUGGCGGCAUGCUUUACACAUGCAAGUCGAGCGGCAGCGCGGGGGGCAACCCUGGCGGCGAGCGGCGAACGGGUGAGGAAUACAUCGGAACGUACCCCGGAGUGGGGGAUAACGCCGCGAAAGCGGCGCUAAUACCGCAUAUGCUCUGAGGAGGAAAGUGGGGGACCUGCAAGGGCCUCACGCUCUGGGAGCGGCCGAUGUCCGAUUAGCUAGUUGGUGGGGUAGAGGCCCACCAAGGCGACGAUCGGUAGCUGGUCUGAGAGGAUGAUCAGCCACACUGGGACUGAGACACGGCCCAGACUCCUACGGGAGGCAGCAGUGGGGAAUUUUGGACAAUGGGGGCAACCCUGAUCCAGCCAUGCCGCGUGCGGGAAGAAGGCCU
rnacentral:rRNA from 1 species